rnacentral:rRNA from 1 species
GAUGAGCGCUGGCGGCGUGCCUAAUACAUGCAAGUCGAGCGAAUGGAUUAAGAGCUUGCUCUUAUGAAGUUAGCGGCGGACGGGUGAGUAACACGUGGGUAACCUGCCCAUAAGACUGGGAUAACUCCGGGAAACCGGGGCUAAUACCGGAUAACAUUUUGAACCGCAUGGUUCGAAAUUGAAAGGCGGCUUCGGCUGUCACUUAUGGAUGGACCCGCGUCGCAUUAGCUAGUUGGUGAGGUAACGGCUCACCAAGGCAACGAUGGGUAGCCGACCUGAGAGGGUGAUCGGCCACACUGGGACUGAGACACGGCCCAGACUCCUACGGGAGGCAGCAGUAGGGAAUCUUCCGCAAUGGACGAAAGUCUGACGGAGCAACGCCGCGUGAGUGAUGAAGGCUUUCGGGUCGUAAAACUCUGUUGUUAGGGAAGAACAAGUGCUAGUUGAAUAAGCUGGCACCUUGACAGUACCUAACCAGAAAGCCACGGCUAACUACGUGCCAGCAGCCGCCGUAA